rnacentral:rRNA from 1 species
UGAGGAACAUGACCUUCGGCGGGGGAUAGCCGGCCCAACGGCCGGGUAAUACCGCGUACGACCACAUGGGGACAUCCCUGAGUGGUGAAAGCAGCAAUGCGCCGAUGGAGUGCCUCGCGGCCUAUCAGCUAGUUGGUGAGGUAACGGCUCACCAAGGCGACGACGGGUAGCUGGUCUGAGAGGAUGGCCAGCCACAUUGGGACUGAGACACGGCCCAGACCUNUACGGGGA